CCUACUGGUGACAGCAGUGGGGAAUAUUGCACAAUGGGGGCAACUCUGAAGCAGCGACGCCGCGUGAAGGAAGAAGUAUUUCGGUAUGUAAACUUCUAUCAGCAGGGAGGAAAAUGACGAUACGUGAAUCAGAAGCCCCGGCUAACUACGUGCCAGCAGCCGCGGUAAUACGUAGGGGGCAAGCGUUAUCCGGAUUUACUGGGUGUAAAGGGAGCGUAGGCGGUUUAGAAAGUCAGAAGUGAAAGCCCGGGGCUCAACUCCGGGACUGCUUUUGAAACUGUGGAACUAGAGUGCAGGAGAGGUAAGUGGAAUUUCUAGUGUAGCGGUGAAAUGCGUAGAUAUUAGGCGGAACACCAGUGGCGAAGGCAGCUUAC
rnacentral:rRNA from 1 species